rnacentral:rRNA from 1 species
UACGUAGGGGGCGAGCGUUGUCCGGAUUUAUUGGGCGUAAAGAGCUCGUAGGCGGUUUGGUAAGUUGGAUGUGAAAUCUCCAGGCUCAACUUGGAGGGGUCAUUCGAUACUGCCAUGACUAGAGUUCGGUAGGGGAGUGUGGAAUUCCUGGUGGAGCGGUGAAAUGCGCAGAUAUCAGGAGGAACACCGGUGGCGAAGGCGGGUCUCUGGGCCGGAACUGACGCUAAGGAGCGAAAGCGUGGGGAGCGAACAGG